AGCAGCCGCGGUAAUUCCAGCUCCAAUAGCGUAUAUUUAAGUUGUUGCAGUUAAAAAGCUCGUAGUUGGAUUUCGGACGGGGACGACCGGUCCGCCGAACGGUGUGCACUGGUCGGUCCCGUCUUCCUGCCGAGGACGCGUUCCCUUCCUUCGUUGGUCGGGACGCGGAGUCGGCGCAGUUACUUUGAAAAAAUUAGAGUGUUCAAAGCAAGCUUCACGCUGUGAAUACUAUAGCAUGGAAUAACGCGAUAGGACUCCGUGCCUAUUGUGUGGGUCUUCGGGACCGGAGUAAUGAUUAAUAGGGACAGUUGGGGGCAUUCGUAUUUCAUUGUCAGAGGUGAAAUUCUUGGAUUUAUGAAAGACGAACUUCUGCGAAAGCAUUUGCCAAGGAUGUUUUCAUUAAUCAAGAACGAAAGUUGGGGGCUCGAAGAUGAUUAGAUACCAUCCUAGUCUCAACCAUAAACGAUGCCGACUAGGGAUUGGCGGAUGUUCGUUCGAUGACUCCGCCAGCACCUUAUGAGAAAUCAAAGUUUUUGGGUUCCGGGGGGAGUAUGGUCGCAAGGCUGAAACUUAAAGGAAUUGACGGAACGGCACCACCAGGCGUGGAGCCUGCGGCUUAAUUUGACUCAACACG
rnacentral:rRNA from 1 species